UGGGGAAUAUUGGACAAUGGGCGGAAGCCUGAUCCAGCAAUGCCGCGUGUGUGAAGAAGGCCUGCGGGUUGUAAAGCACUUUCAGUGGGGAGGAGAGGCUACGGGCUAAUACCCUGUAGAAGAGACGUUACCCACAGAAGAAGCACCGGCUAACUCUGUGCCAGCAGCCGCGGUAAUACAGAGGGUGCAAGCGUUAAUCGGAAUUACUGGGCGUAAAGGGUGCGUAGGUGGUUGAAUAAGUUAGGUGUGAAAGUCCUGGGCUUAACCUGGGGAUUGCGCCUAAUACUGUUGAGCUAGAGUACUGUAGAGGAAGGUGGAAUUUCCGGUGUAGCGGUGAAAUGCGUAGAUAUCGGAAGGAACAUCAGUGGCGAAGGCGACUUUCUGGACAGAUACUGACACUGAGGCACGAAAGCGUGGGGAGCAAACAGGAUUAGAUACCCCUGUAGUCC
rnacentral:rRNA from 1 species